rnacentral:lncRNA from 1 species
GUAGAAUGUAUUUUGACAUAUCAUACAUACAUAGAAUAUGCUUUCCCAUUCUUGUGAUUGUACAUGAUGUGGAGUUACAUUAGUCAUAUAUUCCUAUAUGAACAUAGGAAAGUGAUGUCCAAAGUUAUGUUCAUUCUACUGUCUUUCUUAUUCCUAUCUCCCCCUUCCCCCCACCUGCCCUGUUCAACCCAGUGAACCUCCCCUAAUCCCCUUCCCCUGCCAAUUGUGAGUCAGUACCUGCAUCUCAGAAGAGAAAAUAUGGCCUUUGGUUUUUUGGGUUUGACUUAUUUCACUUAGCAUGAUUGUCUCCAGUUACAUCCAUUUACCCGCAAAUGCUACAAUCUCAUUCUUCUUUAUGCCGAGUAAUAUUCUGUGGUGUAUAUGUAACACAUUUUUUUAAUCCAUUCAUCUGUUGAAGGGCACCUAGCUUAGCUAUUGUGAACUGAGCUGCUAUAAACAUUGAUGUGGCUGCCACCACUGUAGUAUGCUGAUUUUAAGUUUUUAACUCCUUUGGGUAUAAACCAAGGAGUGGGAUAGCUGGGUCAAAUGGUGGGUCCAUUCCAAGUUUACUAAGGAAUCUCCAUACUGCUUUCCAGAUUGUUUGCACCAAUUUGCAGUCCCACCAGCAAUGUGUGAGUGUGCCUUUCCCCCAACAUCCUUGCCAACAUUGUUACUUUUAUUCUUAAUAAUUGCAUCUAACUGGAGUGAGAUGAAAUCUCAGUGUAGUUUUAAUUUGCAUUUCUCUUGCUAGUGAUAUUGAACAUUUUUUCGUGUAUUUGUUGACUGAUCAUAUUCUGGGAAGUGUUCAGUUCCUUUGCCCAUUUAUUGAUUGGGUUAUUGGUUUUUUUGGUAUUACGUAUUUUGAGUUCUUUAUAUAUCCUGGAGAUUAAUGCUCUGAGAUAUAGGCAAAGAUUUUCUCCUAUUCUGUAGGCUCUCUCUUCAAAUUAUUUAUUGUUUCCUUUGCUAUGAAGAAGCUUUUUAGUUUGAAACCAUCCUGUUUAUUGAUUCUCGAUUUUACUUCUUGCGCUUGUUGAGGAAAUUGGUUCCUAAGCUAACAUGAUAGAGUUGGACCUACUUUUUCUUCUGGUUGGAUGAGGGUCUCUGGUCUAAUGCUUAGGUCCUUGAUCCACUUUUGAGUUUUUUUUUUUUUUUAAUAUUUUUUUAAUUGUAGGUGAACACAAUACCUUUAUUUUAUUUAUUUAUUUUUAUGUGGUGCUGAGGAUUGAACCCACUCCUUCACACAUGCCAGAUGGUAUGUUACCACUGAGCCACAACCUCAGCCCAACUUUGAGUUGUUUUGUCCAGAGUGAAAGGGGUAUAAUUUCACUUUGCUACAUAUGGACUUCCAGUUCUCCCACCACCAUUUGUGGAAGAGCCCCUUUUCUCCAAUGUACGUUUAUGGCAACUUUGUCUAGUAUGAGGUAACUAUAUUUAUAUGGGGUUUUCUCUGUUACUUCUAUUCUGUACCAUUGGCCUACAUUUCUGUUUUGAUGCCAAUACCAUGCUGUUUUUGUUAGUACAACCCUGUAGUGUAAUUUAAGGUUUGGUAUUGUGAUGCCUCAAGCUUCACUUUUCUUGCUUGGGAUUGCUUUAGCUUCUUAUUUUUCCAAAUGAAUUUCAUGACUGAUUGUUCUAUUUCUAUGAAGAAGGUCAUUGGAAGCUUAAUAGGAAUUGCAUUAAAUCUGUGUAGCACUUUUGGUAGUAUGGCCAUUUUGACAAUAUUAAUUCUGCCCAUCCAAGAACAUGGGAGCUUGUUCCAUCCUCUCAGGUCUUCUUCAAUUUCUUUCUUUAGAGUUCUGUAGUUUUCAUUGUUGAGGUCUUUCACCUCUUGUUAGAUCAAUUCCCAAAUAUUUUAUUUUUAUUUUUUGAGGCUAGUGUGAAUGGGACAGUUUUCCUAAUUUCUCUUUCCAUUGUUUCAUCCCUGAUGUAUAUGAAUGCAAUUAAUUUAGGUGUUAAUUUUAUAUCCUGCUACUUUCUGAAUUGACUUAUGAGUUCUAAAAGUUUUCUAGUGGAGUUUUUGUUUUGUUUUUUUUUUUUUUACUUCUAAAUAUAGAAUCAUGUCAUUGGUAAACAGGGAGAGUUUGGGUUCUUUUUUUCCUAUUUGUAUCCUUUUUAAAAAUUGCUCUAGCUACAGUUUCAAGGACUAUGUUGAACAGAAGUGGUGAAAGAGGGCAUCCCUGUCUUGUUCCAGUUUUUUUAGAGGGAAUGCUUUCAGUUUUUCUCCUUGUAUAUAACGUUGGCCAUGGGUUUGACAUAGAUAGCUUUUACAAUGUUGAGGUAUGUUCCUACUUUCCCUAGUUUUUCUAGUGUUUUGAGCAAAAAUGGAUGCUGUAUUUUAUCAAAUGCUUUUUCUGCAUCUAUUGAGAGAAUCAUGGGAUUCUACUGAUGUGAUGAAUUACAUUCAUUGAAUGUGGCUUUUUCUUGAUUGAAAGCAUUCACUUGAUUGCUAUGAACCUUUUAACUGUAUCUCAGAGCUCCUAUAUAGUUAUUUUAGUCAGUCCCCCAUUAUGUUUUGCUUUAUUUUUUAUGUCUCUAUGGAGCCAAGGGCCCAGAGAGUCCUAGUCUGCCAACUUGUUAAUGUCAUUCCACUGUGUCUGGUUCUAUCCCAAUGCUCAGUAAUGGUUUUAAAUCGGAUGUGUGGGCACAGGCUUCAGGUUUUCCCACCAUAAUUUGCCGGUAGGGUCAAAAUGAGAUGUGUGUCUAAAUGACAUAUGAUAGCACAAAAUUACAAUCAAUGUACUUCUACUUGUAACUGUCAACAUGGAAACACUUUUAUUAAUGUGAUUAAAAGCAUGUAAAGCUGAGCACAGUGGUGCACAUCUGUAAUCCCAAUGACUCAGGAGGCUGAGGCUGGAGGAUUGCAAGUCAAGACCAGCCUCAGCAACUUAGCAAGGCCCUGAGCAAUGUGGUGAGACCCUGUUUCAAUAAAUAAAUAAAUAGGACUGGGGAUGGAGUUGAAUAAAAUAAAAAGGGCUGGGGAACGUAGCUAAGUGGUAAAGUGUCUCUGGGUUCAAUCCACAAUAUGUA